rnacentral:rRNA from 1 species
GAUGAACGCUAGCGGCAGGCCUAAUACAUGCAAGUCGAGGGGCAAUUCUGCUUUCGGGCAGAAGCGACCGGCGCACGGGUGCGUAACGCGUAUGCAACCUAUCCACCACUGGGGGAUAGCCCGGAGAAAUUCGGAUUAAUACCCCAUAAUGCAGGGGUCCUGCAUGGGACUAUUUGCUAAAGAUUUAUCGGUAGUGGAUGGGCAUGCGUCUGAUUAGCUAGUUGGUGAGGUAAGGGCUCACCAAGGCGAUGAUCGGUAGGGGGUCUGAGAGGAUGAUCCCCCACAAUGGGACUGAGACACGGCCCAUACUCCUACCGGAGGCAACAGUACGGAAUAUUGCACAACGGACGGA